rnacentral:sRNA from 1 species
GCCGGGUGUGGUGGUGCAAGCCUGUCAUCCCAGCAGCUCGGGAGGCUGAGGCAGGAGGAUCACGAGUUCAAAGGCAGCCUCAGUAACUUACCAAGGCUCUCAGCAAUUAAGCGAGACCCUCUCUCUA